UGUCCAAUCUAGCCUGCGGGUGCCCCUAGGGGAGAAUAGGGAAGUCCGGUGCAAUUCCGGCGCGGUCCCGCCACUGUAACCCUGAGUGUCUGUUGCUAUGCCACUCUUCCGUAAAAGAAGGGGAAGGAAGCCUGACACGAAGAGGGGAAGCCAGGAGACCUGCCUGUGGGUUUACGGCAUC
rnacentral:ncRNA from 2 species